CGGCCGCGUCGACGUGGUGUAGCGGUGAAAUGCUUAGAUAUCACGAAGAACUCCGAUUGCGAAGGCAGUCUGCUGGGUUACAACUGACGCUGAGGCUCGAAAGUGCGGGUAUCAAACAGGAUUAGAUACCCUGGUAGUCCGCACAGUAAACGAUGAAUGCUCGUCCUUGGCGAUAUACGGUCAGGGACCAAGCGAAAGCAUUAAGCAUUCCACCUGGGGAGUACGCCGGCAACGGUGAAACUCAAAGGAAUUGACGG
rnacentral:rRNA from 1 species